rnacentral:rRNA from 1 species
AUUGAACGCUGGCGGCAGGCCUAACACAUGCAAGUCGAACGAGUGGCGGACGGGUGAGUAAUGUCUGGGAAACUGCCUGAUGGAGGGGGAUAACUACUGGAAACGGUAGCUAAUACCGCAUACCAUCGGAUGUGCCCAGAGGGGAUUAGCUAGUGGGUGGGGUAACGGCUCACCUAGGCGACGAUCCCUAGCUGGUCGACGAGGAUGACCAGCCACACGGGAACUGAGACACGGUCCGUACGCCUACGGGAGGCAGCAGUGGGGAAUAUUGCACAAUGGGGGCAAGCCGGAUGCAGCCAUGCCGCGUGUAGGAAGAAGGCCUUCGGGUUGUAAAGUACUUUCGGCGGGGAGGCGUUACCCGCAGAAGAAGCACCGGCUAACUCCGUGCCAGCAGCCGCGGUAAUUC